AGUGAACGCUGGCGGUAGGCCUAACACAUGCAAGUCGAACGGCAGCACAGUAAGAGCUUGCUCUUACGGGUGGCGAGUGGCGGACGGGUGAGGAAUACAUCGGAAUCUACUUUUUCGUGGGGGAUAACGUAGGGAAACUUACGCUAAUACCGCAUACGACCUACGGGUGAAAGCAGUGGUUCUUCGGACCUUUCGCGAUUGAAUGAGCCGAUGUCGGAUUAGCUAGUUGGCGGGGUAAAGGCCCACCAAGGCGACGAUCCGUAGCCGGUCUGAGAGGAUGAUCAGCCACACUGGAACUGAGACACGGUCCAGACUCCUACGGGAGGCAGCAGUGGGGAAUAUUGGACAAUGGGCGCAAGCCUGAUCCAGCCAUACCGCGUGGGUGAAGAAGGCCUUCGGGUUGUAAAGCCCUUUUGUUGGGAAAGAAAAGCAGCAGGUUAAUACCCCGCUGUUCUGACGGUACCCAAAGAAUAAGCACCGGCUAACUUCGUG
rnacentral:rRNA from 1 species